rnacentral:sRNA from 1 species
AUUGGGUUAAGGAUUGCAGCGACAUCCUUUUUUUACUACCAUCACUUAGACUACAUUCAGUGACCAAUUUGUAAAAAAAGAUAUAGCGUAAAGCCUGGUGCUAC